GCUAGCGUAGCUUAAUUUAAAGUAUAACAUUGAAGAUGCUAAGACGAACCCUAGAAAGUUCCGCAUGCA
rnacentral:tRNA from 1 species